rnacentral:rRNA from 1 species
GACGAACGCUGGCGGCGUGCCUAAUACAUGCAAGUCGAACGCACUCUCGUUUAGAUUGAAGGAGCUUGCUCCUGAUUGAUAAACAUUUGAGUGAGUGGCGGACGGGUGAGUAACACGUGGGUAACCUGCCCUAAAGUGGGGGAUAACAUUUGGAAACAGAUGCUAAUACCGCAUAAAACCUAACACCGCAUGGUGUAGGGUUGAAAGAUGGUUUCGGCUAUCACUUUAGGAUGGACCCGCGGUGCAUUAGUUAGUUGGUGAGGUAAAGGCUCACCAAGACCGUGAUGCAUAGCCGACCUGAGAGGGUAAUCGGCCACACUGGGACUGAGACACGGCCCAGACUCCUACGGGAGGCAGCAGUAGGGAAUCUUCCACAAUGGACGAAAGUACUGAUGGAGCAACGCCGCGUGAGUGAAGAAGGUUUCGGAUCGUAAAACUCUGUUGUUGGUAGAAGAAUGUAUUUGAUAGUAACUGAUCAGGUAGUGACGGUAU